AGCGAGGCUAGAGUCACGCCCUGACAUUGUGCCGUUGUCCUGGUGUGCUAGAGUGCUCGCAGAGGAAAAGUCUCUGCUAAUUCAUUGGCUGUCAUCAUUUGUUGCUCAGUCAAUCACCAGCUUAGACACAUGA